rnacentral:tmRNA from 1 species
GGGGAUGAGUGGUUUCGACAGGGCCGGAUUCCCGGAGAACGCGAGCCGAGGUUGCCAUCAGGCCUCGUUAAUCAGGUGGCAAAAAGAAGUAACUGGCAACCGCCAGCCUGCUCUCGCCCUCGCCGCUUAAGGCGGCAAGGUGAGCGUGGAAGCAGCCCCAUCCCCGCGGGUUGUGGAAGCGUCAUUUAGCGGGGAUGCGCUACCAGCAAGGUCACGUAGCCGGUAGCAAAGCCCGCAAGGGAACGUGGAUGGAUCAGUCGGGACGCUGUCGAUGGCGGCCAGGCAGAUUGACGACAAAGCAUCGAACACGCUCGUAGUGGUCUCCGGCUGAUGGUUCUGGACGAGGAGUUCGACCCUCCUCCAUCUCCACCA